GCUCCCAUUGGAGAACAGAAAAUUUAAUGAGCUUUUAAUGGAAUGCAAUGCUCAGAGUAGUAAAUUAUUUGUUAGUUGACGAUGCAAUCAGCAUGCUGAUUAAGGUUGCUUGGUUUUUUACUAAACAUUAACUGAAUGAAAACGGUUAGUCCUUGUUGUUCUGCUUGGGGGGCUUUCGUGAAGCAAAUGGACUUUCAGAACAGAGAUUGUCAAUAAAGCUUGAAAAAGCAACCAGCGAACGUGCAGAUUACCGAAGCAUGCAGUGUCGUACAGUGAAGCAUUUUAAAUCUGAUGCUGCAGAAGACAACGUGCCCAAUAUGGUAUGUGAAGACAACUCAGGGAGACUAAUGCAGAUAACACGUUCAUGUCACAUAACUGUGAAGCCUUGCGUCAGAGGGAGGUAAAUCAAGAAAAACUGCACUGAACUUAGACCAAGUCACAGCUGCAAGAAGAGCAGUGUCAUGGAAACUGUUUUGAAGCCAGUGGCCCUGCACUGCUGGAGUGUUGUAGCUCCCUGAAAGGCAAAGUUGUCCAGCUUAGUCAAAUCUGCCCAGGGUCAUGCUGAGCACGUACCUUCCCUGGGCCCUGCACAAGGACGGCACGAUGCUGCAAACUGAGAGUAGCUGGUAAAGCAAAGACAGGUAAAAGGAGACGUGGAAAUUCA